rnacentral:rRNA from 1 species
UAGGGAAUCUUCCGCAAUGGGCGAAAGCCUGACGGAGCAACGCCGCGUGAGUGAUGAAGGUCUUCGGAUCGUAAAACUCUGUUAUUAGGGAAGAACAAAUGUGUAAGUAACUAUGCACGUCUUGACGGUACCUAAUCAGAAAGCCACGGCUAACUACGUGCCAGCAGCCGCGGUAAUACGUAGGUGGCAAGCGUUAUCCGGAAUUAUUGGGCGUAAAGCGCGCGUAGGCGGUUUUUUAAGUCUGAUGUGAAAGCCCUCGGCUCAACCGUGGAGGUUCAUUGGAAACUGGAAAACUUGAGUGCAGAAGAGGAAAGUGGAAUUCCAUGUGUAGCGGUGAAAUGCGCAGAGAUAUGGAGGAACACCAGUGGCGAAGGCGACUUUCUGGUCUGUAACUGACGCUGAUGUGCGAAAGCGUGGGGAUCAAACAGG